UGGGCAGUUAAGCAACGCAACGAAGCUGUUGUGAGAAACCAAGAAUGCAGAGAGAAGAAGCACCCCUGGACGAUAACUGUGUCUCCACCACACAAGUGUAUAGACGAGGCCCCUGAGGACAAGACCUCAGGCUCCUGGCUCGGCAGGAUGCAGACAUCUAAGGCUGAGCAAGUACUCUACUGCUGAGCUACACCCCCUGUCCUUAAUUGUCACUUAACACUGCUUCAGAAGGCAGCUCACAAGCCCAGGGCUUCAAAAUUUCUUGAAAUCAAAAAAGGGAAGAAAUUAUUCCAUUAAA